AAAAUUCAACAAAAAUCAGCGUAUAAUAUGCAUGCAUCUAAUGCAACAGAACAGUUAAUGAAAAGUUAAAUAAAAGAACGAAACAAUAAUGAACAUGCGAACAUGUGGUCUAAACAUAAGAAGCAUGGUAGGCGAACAAGCAAACGAGCAUAUGUGGACUCGACAUAAGCAAGCAAAUCAAAUCAAUUAACCAACAAAACCUCAAAACCUCAAACGUCAAACAUACAGCCAAGCAACCAAGCAGCAAGAGAUGAAUAGUAAAGAGUGUUUAAUAUUUAACACUGGCACACAAUUUAAACACAUCAUUCAAAAUAAAAUUCAAACGGACUAUACAAUUGAAAUGAAAAUGAACCAAGGAUGUAAAAGGUAGAGUAAAGACGUCAGACAAUAGCAGAUAGCAAAUGCCAGUCAUGAGAGAAGAGAGAAGAAGUAAAACAGAAUGACAAUAAUUAUUGUCAAAAGUGAUAGGUAAAGUAUAAAGUAUAACCAGAGACAGCGGAUUCUAAUGCGAAGUGGGUACGCAUCACCACAAAAUGAAGAAACAAGAUCACCACAAAAGAAAGGUGACUGAAAGAAGAAUUACAGAUAAUAAGAACUGAACUGAGAGCUUAUAUGAAGUGCUCGAGCCAGCGAAGCUGAGAAUCCCUCCUGCGAGGCCCAGAUAGCCAAGAUAACCAGGAUAAUGUAUAUUCAAGUCUAUUAAGAUUAUGAUUAUACUUAUUUAAACUACUAGACUGUGCCACGUGUAACCAAGCAACCCUGCAAUGAACAGAUGUACUUAGAGGACGAGCAACAUAAAAUUGAGCAGGCCAAUCAGUGGCGCUAACGCCAAACAUCGUAUAAAAUACAUAAUAUAUUCCUAUCAUAUCAAUUAAUGGGAAAUGGGAAAAGUACCACAUCUUCAAAAGGGAAGAUCGGCUGGGAAUAAAAGCAGAAAGAAGAAAUAGAUGGAACAUUACCCACAACCGCGACCUCAAACUUGAUUAAUAAGCAAAGAUGGUGGAGAAACAAUCAAAUCAUCACAUGCAAGCAAUGAACAAUAAAUGAAUUAUUAAAUUAUUAAUUAUCGUUAGCAAAUCAUCAAUAAAUAAAGAUAAGUAGCAAUAUAUAUCCUAUAACAUCAAUGAUGAUGAAUAUAAUGAACAUAAUAGAAAAAGAUAGAACUAAAAGGUCUCUUAACAUUUUGCCAUAGCUCGCACCGUUUCCGAGAUAUUUGCAGAUUUACCUCAAGGAAAGGGGCGUUACGCACAAGUACCAUGAUAUUAAUAUUAAACCGUAAAUCAUAAUAUUAAUCUAUUUGCAGAAAACCCUACGCCAGCCAAUAGAAGUAGAGGCAAAACGUAACGAUUAACAGGAGAAGAAAUUACCCCCCUGACACAAUAUGAGGAGCAACGUGGAACGUUAAUUAGGAAGCAGCAUAAAACAUUAAAACAAGUCAAAUCAAAUCAAAUAGUUAUAAAUUGCGUAAACUGUUACUGAACUAUCAUACCGCUUAGAUAAGUAUGAUAUCAACAUUAAUACUAACACAAAUACAAGUAGGUCAAUGUAAUACAACGUAUGAUGAACAAAGUUAAUCAAAUAAUAAUCGCCACAGACCCCUGAUUAUUACAGAACCAUAAUAUGGAAGUAAAUGAGAACUAAUCUCUAAUGUGAAGAAAAUAGGUCAAAAUUAUUAUGAACAUGUGUAUAUAUAUAAUAUGUAACAAAACACGCCAAAUGUA